CUCAGCUGACCAGCCCUGUCCGCUACUAGGCCUCGCCUAGAGGAGGGAAAGGCCGUGGCGUCCGCUCCCUCCGCGGCUCAUGGCGACGACGCUUGGCACAUCCGGGACCCUCAGGCCGCUGCAGUCGCGUCGCCGGCUGCUCGGGCCCCAGCCCCGGCCGCUGUGGUGACUCCGCCGCGCCUCGCCGUCGCCCCCGUCCCGCCCGCCGCCCCAGCCGCCAGGGACAUGUCUAACCUCGGAGGCCGUAGGAACGGGCCUGUCGAAGUGCGCCUGACAGGGACAUGCCACCCCCGUUUUAGGAGAACUUGUAUUUGGUUUGAGAAGGAAUUGGAAUCACGGCGUUAUCCUACCUUCACCAUUUACCCCUGAUAAAUUGUCCACGUUUAUAUUUGGAGUCUCAUUCUAUUGCCCAUGCUGGAGUGCAGUGGCAACAGCGUGCAGUGAGUGAUCCCGGCUCUCUGCAGCUUUGACCUCCUGGCUCAAGUGCUUUUCCCACCUUGGCUUCCCAAGUAGCUGGGACUACAGGAAUCAUAUUGACAGGUCAUGAAAAUGAGACCAAAAGAUCUCUGGAAGCGAUUAAUGAUAAAAUUUCAUGGAGAAGAAGGCCUUGACUACGGAGGGGUUGCCAGACAGGGUCUCCCUCUGUCACCCAGGCUGGAGUGUAGUGGCGCGAUCUCGGGUCACUGCAACCUCCCCAAGCUGGGCUCAAGAGAUCCUCCCACCUCAGCCUCCUGAGCAGCUGGGACUACAGGUACAAGCCACCACAGCCAGCUAAUUUUUGUAAUUUUUUUGUAGAGAUGGGGUUUCGCCAUGUUGCCUAGGCUGAUCUCGAACUCCUGAGCUCAAGUAGUCUGCCUGCCCCGGCCUCCCAAAGUGCUGGGAUUACAGGUGUGAGCCACCGCACCCAGCCAGUGAUUUAUUUCUGAUAUUAUAUUUACUAUAAGAAUUCUUUUCUAAAUAUGAAAAUUAGUUUUAUAUAAAUGUAGGAUAAACACUGUAGCUCUCUACUGAAAUGUUUUAAGGAUCAUUGUAAUUCUGCUUUCCCUAAUCUUAAAUCCAACCAAAAUUAAAUUAUGUUUUCA
rnacentral:lncRNA from 1 species